AUGGGUGGAGAUGUUACUCCCUUCUUCUUUCUCUCUCUAUUAUAUUCUAGCUUUUCUCCUCAGAGGAGCACUGAUAUUUCCACCUGGCUGCAUGCAGAAGACGCGCCUUACAUCCGAAGAAUCAGGCAUGAAACACUCGCUGCUUUCACCAAACCCUGUGCGGCAGAGCAAAGGAUUGUGGGAUACAUUGCACGACAGGAAGACAGGAAUAAAGACAGAAGGUGCUCUGGUGAGAGGAGUGGAAGUGAUGUCUCUGAGCUGCACUGCUCAGUGCUGUCUGGAGAGUGUACUGAAAGACAGAUGACAAGAGAAACGGACAGGAGGCACCAAACCAGACAGAUGGAGAAGCAAACAACCAAACAAAUACAUAUAUAAAGACUACUUCAAAAUAAUAAUAAAUACUAUAAAAUACUACUUGAAUAGUACAAAAAUACUACUGUGGCAAAUAAAUUUAGUUAUGCCAAUGUUAAAAAGAAUUGUGUGUACUAGUUAAUUUUAAUUAUCUGAAAUGAAUAAAGUAGCAAAAAUCUAUUUUUUUUUUUGAGAGAGAGUUGACAGCAAAAUAAGACCAACAUAAACAAUGAAUGACAGAGGGAUAUAUCCCAAUUGUAUUACACUAUGUGUUAUCAUCAUUGACAUUCACUGGCAUCACUACAACAUCAAUAUCUGAGCUAAUUCUAUAUUUAAAACUUGUGUGAAUUUGUCAAGCACACACCAUGAAGAUCCACAACAAUCAUUCAGUUUUGAUCGGAGCUGGAUAUGCGAGAAUCUGGUUAAUAUCUUUCUGCUGCAGAACAUUAAUCUGAACCUCGGUGUCAUGGAGGGAGGUGGGCACGGGGUCGUCUGUCCUCUUUAAGGUCUUCCUCCCAUUAGCCCAGACUCAUCAAGGAGAUUAAUCGAGCCCCAAGCGGGCCAGUCCACACAUUUGUCAGGCCACUCAUCCACUAAUACCAUCCUUACGAUCCUUUCUCCCUUCUUAGUUGUACUAUCCCUGUCUUUUUUCACUCUAAAGACAUAGGAAGGUCAGUCCAAGCAUAAGAUAGACAGGGACGGUUGGGACGUGAAUCAUGGAUUGUCCUGAACACUUCAUGAUGGAGUUUAUGUACUUUUGUUAGGAGGCAUUAAUAACAGUGUUGGCCAAACAAAGAACACUGAGAGAAUAAAAGACACUGUUAAGUGACAUUUACAUAAUUAAGCUCGUAUGGAAAUCAAUACGGAUACAGGAGCUGAAAAUUUGUCGCAAUUUCUGAUAUUUGCAAAGACACCAGUAAAAUUGUUAUGUACAUUAUGACAGAUAUGACUGCAGGGUUAAGGUAUAGCCAGUUAGCAUGACCCCAAUUAGCCCUUGGUGCUGUAACUACACUAUCUGAGCCCCAAAAUCCAUCUUUCUCCAUUAACAACCAUUCAAAAGACAACGAGACAGCUAGCCAGAGCGCACUUGUGACAUACAACAGUCGUCCUGCCUCAUGGACACUCACUACAGCAACCUGAGAGUAAACCAUGCGAGACGGAACAGAAGGACACAACUGUCCAACAGAGGGACGUAACUGUCCAGCAUCACGGUGACUCAGCGUCUGGCUGCUGCGUUUACACAAACACAAAUAGAUACACAAUGUUCUCUCUCUCUUUCACACUGUCAUUCUUUGCAUCUGAAACAUCCCAUUCCAAAAUAAUAUAUGUCCCACUCUUGUCUUCAUGCAUUCUGGAAAAUAGACCCUCUCUGACUAAAACCUUGUAGUUUAUUUAUUUGUCUGAAAUAUGUGGAGACAAUCUGCUGACACUCUACAUCACCUAUUUUGUAACGUCAGUUCUUAUAGGUUGGUUUAAAUGGAUUACUACUGACUUCAUACGGACAAAAAAGAAAGAAAAGAAAAAAAAUAAAUAAAUGGGAACAAAACUGUCUGCUUAUCAACAUUCUUCAAGAUAUCUUCUUUUGUGUCAGAAAUGUCAUCAUUUUAUUAUAUUUUCACAAAAAAUAUAUAAUAAAUGUUGAUCUCGUUUUCUUCACACUGUGCUGUCUACAAUACAAGACCAUUUCAAGUGUGUAACAGAUGCAAGUGAAUCACAGACCUCCAUCUACCUGCCAACCGCCCCCAUCACGUACCUCCAAAUCAACAACUGUUUACGCAUCGGCAGCCCUUCUGCCGAUUUUGCAGACUGUCCAUCUUUCUUAGCUAGCUUGGAAACUUUUUUUGCAAGUGCACAAUGAGAUGAGCAAAAGAAAACAUGGAGGGGAAGCGAGGCAAAAAUAUCCCAUUAACUCAGGAAAUUGGUACAAGCUGUGCCACAGCACAAUGCAAUCACCUUUCCCAUCUUAGCAUCUCCUGUCCCCGUCACCCACCCCUUCACCUUGUCCAACAAGUGGCGGAGUCAUGUGCAUUUUGUUUCCUGUCCAACCAUUACAGACGUCGAUGGGUAAGGGAGGAGGACGAAUAAGACUAAAGAGAGAUGCAGAGAGGGAGAGGAAUGCUGAAGGAAAGAAACAUCAGAAAUAAAAAUCGUUAAUAUCUCAAGUGUUUCUCAUAGUCACUAAUAAGAACAACUAGAGUUUCAUCUUCUAAAAAAAGAACCCAGUAAUUGUGUCUCCUGUAGAGGUCCAACAAAUCUCAAAAAUGUCUCAAACUGUGUUCAGAUUCAGAAGUCUGGAAUUAAAAGGAAAUAGCACAUUUAUGCAAAGAAAAAAAAAAGUCAGAAUAAUGAACAAACAGCUGGUGAAUACCAAUGCUGUGAACAGUGUGUUUCAUCCUAUUUGUUUAUAUACAUGGAAAUAUUUGCUAAUUUAGUUAUUAUACAAAAAAAUAUAUAUAAAUGGGGUAAGCUGAUCUAACUAGGUUGCAUAUAUAAAAUAUGUAAAACUCAAAUAUGUUUAUAUAUAUAUAUAUAUAUAUAUAUAUAUAUAUAUAUAUAUAUAUAUAUAUAUAUAUAUAUAAUCAGUAUUAUUUCAUUUAUGUUAAAUACUAAUUACA
ensembl:lncRNA